UACGUAGGGUGCGAGCGUUAAUCGGAAUUACUGGGCGUAAAGUGUGCGCAGGCGGCAGAGCAAGUCGAGUGUGAAAGCCCCGGGCUUAACUUGGGAAUUGCGCUCGAAACUACUUUGCUGGAGUGUGGCAGAGGAAGGUGGAAUUCCACGUGUAGCGAUGAAAUGCGUAGAGAUGUGGAGGAACACCAAUGGCGAAGGCAGCCUUCUGGGCCAACACUGACGCUCAUGCACGAAAGCGUGGGGAGCAAACAGG
rnacentral:rRNA from 1 species